rnacentral:rRNA from 1 species
GAUGAACGCUGGCGGCGUGCCUAAUACAUGCAAGUCGAGCGAAUGGAUUAAGAGCUUGCUCUUAUGAAGUUAGCGGCGGACGGGUGAGUAACACGUGGGUAACCUGCCCAUAAGACUGGGAUAACUCCGGGAAACCGGGGCUAAUACCGGAUAAUAUUUUGAACUGCAGGGUUCAAAAUUGAAAGGCGGCUUCGGCUGGCACUUAUGGAUGGACCCGCGUCGCAUUAGCUAGUUGGUGAGGUAACGGCUCACCAAGGCAACGAUGCGUAGCCGACCUGAGAGGGUGAUCGGCCACACUGGGACUGAGACACGGCCCAGACUCCUACGGGAGGCAGCAGUAGGGAAUCUUCCGCAAUGGACGAAAGUCUGACGGAGCAACGCCGCGUGAGUGAUGAAGGCUUUCGGGUCGUAAAACUCUGUUGUUAGGGAAGAACAAGUGCUAGUUGAAUAAGCUGGCACCUUGACGGUACCUAACCAGAAAGCCACGGCUAACUACGUGCCAGCCGCCGCGGUAA